UACGUAGGGUGCGAGCGUUGUCCGGAAUUAUUGGGCGUAAAGAGCUCGUAGGCGGUUUGUCGCGUCUAUCGUGAAAACUAGCAGCUUAACUGUUGGCGUGCGGUGGAUACGGGCAGACUUGAGUUCGGUAGGGGAGACUGGAAUUCCUGGUGUAGCGGUGAAAUGCGCAGAUAUCAGGAGGAACACCGGUGGCGAAGGCGGCAUCCUGGACCAACACUGACGCUGAUGAGCGAAAGCCAGGGGAGCAAACGGG
rnacentral:rRNA from 1 species